UGACACCUUAAGUCAUUUCCCCUAUUCUGAGACUCCGUUUCCCCGUCUGUAAGGUGGAAAGAAUAGUAUCUGUUUCAUAGGAUCACAUGGUGCAAAAGUGAUAAGAAUUCAGCAUUCUCCUCGACAAGUGGACGACCAUCUACUGUGGUUUCACAGCGGCUAUCACUAUUGCCAGCAGCAAGACUGUCAGCUCGGCGCCCUCGUCUGGUUGGAUGGGAAACUGCAGUUGCUAAGGGAGCUGGGUUUGAAUCUCUGAGGACAAAUGGGAAUUCUCACUGAUUUCUAGGACUACCCUGGGGCAGGUAAGAAAAGCAUCCAAGUUUUUUCCCAUCGCUCCAUUUAUAAACUUUUUUUUUUUGGAGAUAGGGUCUCACUCUGCCACCCAGGCUGGAGUGCAGUGGCACAAUCUUGGCUCACUGCAACUUCUGCCUCCUGGGCUCAACCAGUCCUCCCACUUCAGCCUCCUGAGUAGCUGGGACUACAGGUGCCUGCCACCAUGCCCGGCUAAUUUUUUGUAUUUUUAAAUAGGGACAGGGUUUCACUGUGUUAGCCAGGAUGGUCUCCAUCUCCUGACCUCGUGAUCCGCCCGCCUGGGCCUCCCAAAGUGCUGGGAUUACAGGUGUGAGCCACCACGCCCAGCCUAUUUACCUCAUUUUUAGAGAAAGAAACUGAGAAAGAGAUUAAGUGACAUGCUCAAGGCCACAUGGCUAGAAAGUGUGGGGUUUGAAGCAGAGUCUGACGUCUGACUCCACAGCCUGUGCCCUUAGCUGCCCUUCUCCGAGCCUUGUGGAUUACCUAGAGCCCAGGCUGUCAUGAUUACCUUUGGAGGUUUUUUUGGUUUUUUUUGGUCAGCAUACAUUUUUCUCUGGAUUUUUAGUUUUUUCCGAUAAGUUUUGGGGGAACAGGUGGUGUUUGGUUACAUGAAUAAGUUCUUUAGUGGUGAUCUCUGAGGUUUUGGUGCACCCAACCUUUGGAAUCUUUAAUGCUGUUAGCAAAUAUUCCCAAUUCUCUGCAUCCAGGAACAUGGAUGGAUUGUGCUUCCUUGACCCCAUGAAUUAAGGUGCAGCCAAUGCAAUAUGAUGGCAAUGAUAGAUGUCACUUCUAGACAUAACAACAGUUAUAUCAAUAUUGUAAUUAAUAUUAUUUUUCUAUUAUAAUUAAUGUUAAUAAAUAUUAAUAUUCUCUA